rnacentral:rRNA from 1 species
AACGAACGCUAGCAGCGUGGAUUAGGCAUGCAAGUCGUGCGCGAACGUCUUCGGACAAGUAGAGCGGCGAAAGGGUGAGUAACACGUAACCAACGUACCCUUCAGAUCGGGAUAGCCACUGGAAACGGUGGGUAAUACCGAAUGGACCUCGGAGUGGCAUCACUCCAUAGGUAAACGGUGGCUUCGGCUGCUGCUGAGGGAGCGGGUUGCGGCCUAUCAGUUUGUUGGUGGGGUAACGGCCUACCAAGACAAUGACGGGUAGCGGGUCUGAGAGGAUGAUCCGUCACACUGGGACUGAGACACUGCCCAGACUCCUACGGGAGGCUGCAGUCGAGAAUCUUCCACAAUGGGCGAAAGCCUGAUGGAGCGACGCUGCGUGCAGGAUGAAGGCCUUAGGGUUGUAAACUGCUGUCACGCUAUAGGAACCCACGGUGGUGAAUAGUCAUCGUGCUGACCAAAGCGAGAGGAAGUGCCGGCUAACUCCG